GGGUGCGAUCAUACCAGCACUAAUGCACUGGAUCCCAUCAGAACUCCGCAGGUAAGCGUGCUUGGGAGAGAAUGGUACUAAGAUGAGCAUUGUCGCAGGACUUCCAUAGACACAGGCA
rnacentral:rRNA from 1 species